UCCUAGCUUCUCGCGAGAGUGGCGGAGCUGCGGGGACCGAGAGCUGCGGGCGGGCUGGAGGUACCCCACCGCGGGGUGGUGCUCUGACUGCGGGAACCGUUGAAGAGCUGCCCCCGGGGAGUCAGCGAGGCGCCACUGGUCCCUUAGACAUCUUCUCAAGAUUAUGCUAAGAGAAAUGACUGCUCCCUCUUCCUGAGCUAUGGCAGUCAGACCUGGCAGUGGUAACUACUCUACAGAACUCCCAAACCUGGCAAGGAUGGUGCAGAUUGUGGCAGAUUAUGGCUUUGUCUCCACCCAGCACUGAUGAUAUUAUGAACCUCUGGUAACUAUCGUUCUACUGUCUACCUGCAUGAGAACAACUUGUUCAGGUGAUCUGCCUGCCUCGGCCUCCCAGUGUGCUGAUUACAGGCGUGAGCCACCGUGCCUGGCCGAGGAUCCCUGCUUCUUUUUUUUUUUAUUUUUUUAUCCAGCCCAAAAUGUCAUGAGGACUUCCACUUCUAAGGGAUAUAUUACUUAAAGGUCCACUGUUUUAAGUCUUUGAUGUAAGGAAUUCCUUUCAUAACAAAAAUAAUAAACUCUUGAUUUAGUGCCUUUAUGCAUUUUUAUUUUCCCCACAUCAAGUUUUAUUUAAAGUUGCCACAUUUAGUACAUGAACAUCCAAAACAUUCUGUUGGUUGACUUCUGCCGGAUUAGCAUCAAAAACUUUCAAUUCUCCAAGCCAAUAUUUAAAAGAAUAUAGAGGCCAGAUGUAGUGGCUCAAGCCUAUAAUCUCAGGACUUUGAGAGGCUGAG